AGCAGAGACUGAGCCACUGCACUCCAGCUUGGGUGAUAGAGUGAGACUCUGUCUCAAAAACAAAACAAAACAAAUCAAACACUGCUUUGGGCUCAAAUCCCUGAUUCUCAGUGUAUGAACUUUGCAACUUUACCUCUCUGUGCCUGCUUCCUCACUUACCAGGGAAAGUUUCAGAACUGUUGCUCCUGGCAGACACUUCGUGGACACGCAUACUCACCAUGCCUCCUUCCUGCUGACAACUGGGGACUUAAGUCACAACCUGCAGACUAGCACAGAGAAAUGUCUGACUCUUCAGUUGAGUUCAACAAAUGCUUAUUGAGCACCUCCUAAGUACCAGGCACUGUUGAUACAAAGCUACUCAGGAGGCUGAGG
rnacentral:lncRNA from 1 species